GACGUAGGGCGCGAGCGUUGUCCGGAUUAUUGGGCGUAAAGAGCUCGUAGGCGGCUUGUCGCGUCGACUGUGAAAUCCCGCGGCUCAACUGCGGGUCUGCAGUCGAUACGGGCAGGCUAGAGUUCGGUAGGGGAGACUGGAAUUCCUGGUGUAGCGGUGAAAUGCGCAGAUAUCAGGAGGAACACCAAUGGCGAAGGCAGCUCACUGGGACGGUAUUGACGCUGAGACGCGAAAGCGUGGGGAGCAAACAGG
rnacentral:rRNA from 1 species